CAUUGGAAAUACCCCAAGCCUUGUCUUUAUCUGUCAACUCCUCCAAAAUGUCAAAACACAAAGAAGAUAACUCUUUCUUAAAUUUUCAACCAUCAAUGUUUUAUUCACCCAGCCUAAAAGUCCUGAUUAUCAGUUCUGGGUCCCUGGCAAUGACUGUUGGGUACAAACUGCAAAGCUUUGUUCUGCAGGUAGGGCUGGGCUUUUCAUUGACCAUGGGUUGGAAUAGUUCUGUGGGCAUAGUGUGUCUUCGAAGCCACUAUGUUUUCUGCACUUGUGACUAGAGAGCACCUUGAUAGCUCAGUUGGUAGAGCGGUGGACUGUAAGAUGCUCCUUGUGUGAAACGCUGUGAUCCUAAGGUGGCUGGUUCAACUCCAGCUCCAAGCACCUCCUUGUCAUUGGAAAUACCCCCAAGCCUUGUCUUUAUCUGUCAACUCCUCCAAAAUGUCAAAACACAAAGAAGAUAACUCUUUCUUAAAUUUUCAACCAUCAAUGUUUUAUUCACCCAGCCUAAAAGUCCUGAUUAUCAGUUCUGGGUCCCUGGCAAUGACUGUUGGGUACAAACUGCAAAGCUUUGUUCUGCAGGUAGGGCUGGGCUUUUCAUUGACCAUGGGUUGGAAUAGUUCUGUGGGCAUAGUGUGUCUUCGAGGCCACUAUGUUUUCUGCACUUGUGACUACAGAGCACCUUGAUAGCUCAGUUGGUAGAGCGGUGGACUGUAAGAUGCUCCUUGUGUGAAACGCCGUGAUCCUAAGGUCGCUGGUUCAACUCCAGCUCCAAGCACCUCCUUGUCAUUGGAAAUACCCCCAAGCCUUGUCUUUAUCUGUCAACUCCUCCAAAAUGUCAAAACACAAAGAAGAUAACUCUUUCUUAAAUUUUCAACCAUCAAUUUUUUAUUCACCCAGCCUAAAAGUCCUGAUUAUCAGUUCUGGGUCCCUGGCAAUGACUGUUGGGUACAAACUGCAAAGCUUUGUUCUGCAGGUAGGGCUGGGCUUUUCAUUGACCAUGGGUUGGAAUAGUUCUGUGGGCAUAGUGUGUCUACGAAGCCACUAUGUUUUCUGCACUUGUGACUAGAGAGCACCUUGAUAGCUCAGUUGGUAGAGCGGUGGACUGUAAGAUGCUCCUUGUGUGAAACGCUGUGAUCCUAAGGUCGCUGGUUCAACUCCAGCUCCAAGCAGCUCCUUGUCAUUGUAAAUACCCCCAAGCCUUGUCUUUAUCUGUCAACUCCUCCAAAAUGUCAAAACACAAAGAAGAUAACUCUUUCUUAAAUUUUCAACCAUCAAUUUUUUAUUCACCCAGCCUAAAAGUCCUGAUUAUCAGUUCUGGGUCCCUGGCAAUGACUGUUGGGUACAAACUGCAAAGCUUUGUUCUGCAGGUAGGGCUGGGCUUUUCAUUGACCAUGGGUUGGAAUAGUUCUGUGGGCAUAGUGUGUCUACGAAGCCACUAUGUUUUCUGCACUUGUGACUAGAGAGCACCUUGAUAGCUCAGUUGGUAGAGCGGUGGACUGUAAGAUGCUCCUUGUGUGAAACGCUGUGAUCCUAAGGUCGCUGGUUCAACUCCAGCUCCAAGCACCUCCUUGUCAUUGGAAAUACCCCAAAGCCUUGUCUUUAUCUGUCAACUCCUCCAAAAUGUCAAAACACAAAUAAGAUAACUCUUUCUUAAAUUUUCAACCAUCAAUUUUUUAUUCACCCAGCCUAAAAGUCCUGAUUAUCAGUUCUGGGUCCCUGGCAAUGACUGUUGGGCACAAACUGCAAAGCUUUGUUCUGCAGGUAGGGCUGGGCUUUUCAUUGACCAUGGGUUGGAAUAUUUCUGUGGGCAUAGUGUGUCUUCGAAGCCACUAUGUUUUCUGCACUUGUGACUAGAGAGCACCUUGAUAGCUCAGUUGGUAGAGCGGUGGACUGUAAGAUGCUCCUUGUGUGAAACGCUGUGAUCCUAAGGUGGCUGGUUCAACUCCAGCUCCAAGCACCUCCUUGUCAUUGGAAAUACCCCCAAGCCUUGUCUUUAUCUGUCAACUCCUCCAAAAUGUCAAAACACAAACAAGAUAACUCUAUCUUAAAUUUUCAACCAUCAAUUUUUUAUUCACCCAGCCUAAAAGUCCUGAUUAUCAGUUCUGGGUCCCUGGCAAUGACUGUUGGGUACAAACUGCAAAGCUUUGUUCUGCAGGUAGGGCUGGGCUUUUCAUUGACCAUGGGUUGGAAUAGUUCUGUGGGCAUAGUGUGUCUUCGAAGCCACUAUGUUUUCUGCACUUGUGACUAGAGAGCACCUUGAUAGCUCAGUUGGUAGAGCGGUGGACUGUAAGAUGCUCCUUGUGUGAAACGCUGUGAUCCUAAGGUGGCUGGUUCAACUCCAGCUCCAAGCACCUCCUUGUCAUUGGAAAUACCCCCAAGCCUUGUCUUUAUCUGUCAACUCCUCCAAAAUGUCAAAACACAAAGAAGAUAACUCUUUCUUAAAUUUUCAACCAUCAAUGUUUUAUUCACCCAGCCUAAAAGUCCUGAUUAUCAGUUCUGGGUCCCUGGCAAUGACUGUUGGGUACAAACUGCAAAGCUUUGUUCUGCAGGUAGGGCUGGGCUUUUCAUUGACCAUGGGUUGGAAUAGUUCUGUGGGCAUAGUGUGUCUUCGAGGCCACUAUGUUUUCUGCACUUGUGACUACAGAGCACCUUGAUAGCUCAGUUGGUAGAGCGGUGGACUGUAAGAUGCUCCUUGUGUGAAACGCCGUGAUCCUAAGGUCGCUGGUUCAACUCCAGCUCCAAGCAGCUCCUUGUCAUUGUAAAUACCCCCAAGCCUUGUCUUUAUCUGUCAACUCCUCCAAAAUGUCAAAACACAAAGAAGAUAACUCUUUCUUAAAUUUUCAACCAUCAAUUUUUUAUUCACCCAGCCUAAAAGUCCUGAUUAUCAGUUCUGGGUCCCUGGCAAUGACUGUUGGGUACAAACUGCAAAGCUUUGUUCUGCAGGUAGGGCUGGGCUUUUCAUUGACCAUGGGUUGGAAUAGUUCUGUGGGCAUAGUGUGUCUACGAAGCCACUAUGUUUUCUGCACUUGUGACUAGAGAGCACCUUGAUAGCUCAGUUGGUAGAGCGGUGGACUGUAAGAUGCUCCUUGUGUGAAACGCUGUGAUCCUAAGGUCGCUGGUUCAACUCCAGCUCCAAGCAGCUCCUUGUCAUUGUAAAUACCCCCAAGCCUUGUCUUUAUCUGUCAACUCCUCCAAAAUGUCAAAACACAAAGAAGAUAACUCUUUCUUAAAUUUUCAACCAUCAAUUUUUUAUUCACCCAGCCUAAAAGUCCUGAUUAUCAGUUCUGGGUCCCUGGCAAUGACUGUUGGGUACAAACUGCAAAGCUUUGUUCUGCAGGUAGGGCUGGGCUUUUCAUUGACCAUGGGUUGGAAUAGUUCUGUGGGCAUAGUGUGUCUACGAAGCCACUAUGUUUUCUGCACUUGUGACUAGAGAGCACCUUGAUAGCUCAGUUGGUAGAGCGGUGGACUGUAAGAUGCUCCUUGUGUGAAACGCUGUGAUCCUAAGGUCGCUGGUUCAACUCCAGCUCCAAGCACCUCCUUGUCAUUGGAAAUACCCCAAAGCCUUGUCUUUAUCUGUCAACUCCUCCAAAAUGUCAAAACACAAAUAAGAUAACUCUUUCUUAAAUUUUCAACCAUCAAUUUUUUAUUCACCCAGCCUAAAAGUCCUGAUUAUCAGUUCUGGGUCCCUGGCAAUGACUGUUGGGCACAAACUGCAAAGCUUUGUUCUGCAGGUAGGGCUGGGCUUUUCAUUGACCAUGGGUUGGAAUAUUUCUGUGGGCAUAGUGUGUCUUCGAAGCCACUAUGUUUUCUGCACUUGUGACUAGAGAGCACCUUGAUAGCUCAGUUGGUAGAGCGGUGGACUGUAAGAUGCUCCUUGUGUGAAACGCUGUGAUCCUAAGGUGGCUGGUUCAACUCCAGCUCCAAGCACCUCCUUGUCAUUGGAAAUACCCCCAAGCCUUGUCUUUAUCUGUCAACUCCUCCAAAAUGUCAAAACACAAACAAGAUAACUCUAUCUUAAAUUUUCAACCAUCAAUUUUUUAUUCACCCAGCCUAAAAGUCCUGAUUAUCAGUUCUGGGUCCCUGGCAAUGACUGUUGGGUACAAACUGCAAAGCUUUGUUCUGCAGGUAGGGCUGGGCUUUUCAUUGACCAUGGGUUGGAAUAGUGCUGUGGGCAUAGUGUGUCUUCGAAGCCACUAUGUUUUCUGCACUUGUGACUAGAGAGCACCUUGAUAGCUCAGUUGGUAGAGCGGUGGACUGUAAGAUGCUCCUUGUGUGAAACGCUGUGAUCCUAAGGUGGCUGGUUCAACUCCAGCUCCAAGCACCUCCUUGUCAUUGGAAAUACCCCAAGCCUUGUCUUUAUCUGUCAACUCCUCCAAAAUGUCAAAACACAAAGAAGAUAACUCUUUCUUAAAUUUUCAACCAUCAAUGUUUUAUUCACCCAGCCUAAAAGUCCUGAUUAUCAGUUCUGGGUCCCUGGCAAUGACUGUUGGGUACAAACUGCAAAGCUUUGUUCUGCAGGUAGGGCUGGGCUUUUCAUUGACCAUGGGUUGGAAUAGUUCUGUGGGCAUAGUGUGUCUUCGAAGCCACUAUGUUUUCUGCACUUGUGACUAGAGAGCACCUUGAUAGCUCAGUUGGUAGAGCGGUGGACUGUAAGAUGCUCCUUGUGUGAAACGCUGUGAUCCUAAGGUGGCUGGUUCAACUCCAGCUCCAAGCACCUCCUUGUCAUUGGAAAUACCCCCAAGCCUUGUCUUUAUCUGUCAACUCCUCCAAAAUGUCAAAACACAAAGAAGAUAACUCUUUCUUAAAUUUUCAACCAUCAAUGUUUUAUUCACCCAGCCUAAAAGUCCUGAUUAUCAGUUCUGGGUCCCUGGCAAUGACUGUUGGGUACAAACUGCAAAGCUUUGUUCUGCAGGUAGGGCUGGGCUUUUCAUUGACCAUGGGUUGGAAUAGUUCUGUGGGCAUAGUGUGUCUUCGAGGCCACUAUGUUUUCUGCACUUGUGACCACAGAGCACCUUGAUAGCUCAGUUGGUAGAGCGGUGGACUGUAAGAUGCUCCUUGAGUGAAACGCCGUGAUCCUAAGGUCGCUGGUUCAACUCCAGCUCCAAGCACCUCCUUGUCAUUGGAAAUACCCCCAAGCCUUGUCUUUAUCUGUCAACUCCUCCAAAAUGUCAAAACACAAAGAAGAUAACUCUUUCUUAAAUUUUCAACCAUCAAUGUUUUAUUCACCCAGCCUAAAAGUCCUGAUUAUCAGUUCUGGGUCCCUGGCAAUGACUGUUGGGUACAAACUGCAAAGCUUUGUUCUGCAGGUAGGGCUGGGCUUUUCAUUGACCAUGGGUUGGAAUAGUUCUGUGGGCAUAGUGUGUCUUCGAAGCCACUAUGUUUUCUGCACUUGUGACUAGAGAGCACCUUGAUAGCUCAGUUGGUAGAGCGGUGGACUGUAAGAUGCUCCUUGUGUGAAACGCUGUGAUCCUAAGGUCGCUAGUUCAACUCCAGCUCCAAGCACCUCCUUGUCAUUGGAAAUACCCCCAAGCCUUGUCUUUAUCUGUCAACUCCUCCAAAAUGUCAAAACACAAAGAAGAUAACUCUUUCUUAAAUUUUCAACCAUCAAUUUUUUAUUCACCCAGCCUAAAAGUCCUGAUUAUCAGUUCUGGGUCCCUGGCAAUGACUGUUGGGUACAAACUGCAAAGCUUUGUUCUGCAGGUAGGGCUGGGCUUUUCAUUGACCAUGGGUUGGAAUAGUUCUGUGGGCAUAGUGUGUCUUCGAAGCCACUAUGUUUUCUGCACUUGUGACUAGAGAGCACCUUGAUAGCUCAGUUGGUAGAGCGGUGGACUGUAAGAUGCUCCUUGUGUGAAACGCUGUGAUCCUAAGGUGGCUGGUUCAACUCCAGCUCCAAGCACCUCCUUGUCAUUGGAAAUACCCCAAGCCUUGUCUUUAUCUGUCAACUCCUCCAAAAUGUCAAAACACAAAGAAGAUAACUCUUUCUUAAAUUUUCAACCAUCAAUGUUUUAUUCACCCAGCCUAAAAGUCCUGAUUAUCAGUUCUGGGUCCCUGGCAAUGACUGUUGGGUACAAACUGCAAAGCUUUGUUCUGCAGGUAGGGCUGGGCUUUUCAUUGACCAUGGGUUGGAAUAGUUCUGUGGGCAUAGUGUGUCUUCGAAGCCACUAUGUUUUCUGCACUUGUGACUAGAGAGCACCUUGAUAGCUCAGUUGGUAGAGCGGUGGACUGUAAGAUGCUCCUUGUGUGAAACGCUGUGAUCCUAAGGUGGCUGGUUCAACUCCAGCUCCAAGCACCUCCUUGUCAUUGGAAAUACCCCCAAGCCUUGUCUUUAUCUGUCAACUCCUCCAAAAUGUCAAAACACAAAGAAGAUAACUCUUUCUUAAAUUUUCAACCAUCAAUGUUUUAUUCACCCAGCCUAAAAGUCCUGAUUAUCAGUUCUGGGUCCCUGGCAAUGACUGUUGGGUACAAACUGCAAAGCUUUGUUCUGCAGGUAGGGCUGGGCUUUUCAUUGACCAUGGGUUGGAAUAGUUCUGUGGGCAUAGUGUGUCUUCGAAGCCACUAUGUUUUCUGCACUUGUGACUAGAGAGCACCUUGAUAGCUCAGUUGGUAGAGCGGUGGACUGUAAGAUGCUCCUUGUGUGAAACGCCGUGAUCCUAAGGUCGCUGGUUCAACUCCAGCUCCAAGCACCUCCUUGUCAUUGGAAAUACCCCCAAGCCUUGUCUUUAUCUGUCAACUCCUCCAAAAUGUCAAAACACAAACAAGAUAACUCUUUCUUAAAUUUUCAACCAUCAAUGUUUUAUUCACCCAGCCUAAAAGUCCUGAUUAUCAGUUCUGGGUCCCUGGCAAUGACUGUUGGGUACAAACUGCAAAGCUUUGUUCUGCAGGUAGGGCUGGGCUUUUCAUUGACCAUGGGUUGGAAUAGUUCUGUGGGCAUAGUGGUUCUUAAAGCCACUAUGUUUUCUGCACUUGCGACUAGAGAGCACCUUGAUAGCUCAGUUGGUAGAGCGGUGGACUGUAAGAUGCUCCUUGUGUGAAACGCUGUGAUCCUAAGGUCGCUGGUUCAACUCCAGCUCCAAGCACCUCCUUGUCAUUGGAAAUACCCCCAAGCCUUGUCUUUAUCUGUCAACUCCUCCAAAAUGUCAAAACACAAAGAAGAUAACUCUUUCUUAAAUUUUCAACCAUCAAUUUUUUAUUCACCCAGCCUAAAAGUCCUGAUUAUCAGUUCUGGGUCCCUGGCAAUGACUGUUGGGUACAAACUGCAAAGCUUUGUUCUGCAGGUAGGGCUGGGCUUUUCAUUGACCAUGGGUUGGAAUAGUGCUGUGGGCAUAGUGUGUCUUCGAAGCCACUAUGUUUUCUGCACUUGUGACUAGAGAGCACCUUGAUAGCUCAGUUGGUAGAGCGGUGGACUGUAAGAUCCUCCUUGUGUGAAACGCUGUGAUCCUAAGGUCGCUGGUUCAACUCCAGCUCCAAGCACCUCCUUGUCAUUGGAAAUACCCCAAAGCCUUGUCUUUAUCUGUCAACUCCUCCAAAAUGUCAAAACACAAACAAGAUAACUCUUUCUUAAAUUUUCAACCAUCAAUUUUUUAUUCACCUAGCCUAAAAGUCCUGAUUAUCAGUUCUGGGUCCCUGGCAAUGACUGUUGGGUACAAACUGCAAAGCUUUGUUCUGCAGGUAGGGCUGGGCUUUUCAUUGACCAUGGGUUGGAAUAGUUCUGUGGGCAUAGUGUGUCUUCGAAGCCACUAUGUUUUCUGCACUUGUGACUAGAGAGCACCUUGAUAGCUCAGUUUGUAGAGCGGUGGACUGUAAGAUGCUCCUUUGUGGAACGCUGUGAUCCUAAGGUCGCUGGUUCAACUCCAGCUCCAAGCACCUCCUUGUCAUUGUAAAUACCCCCAAGCCUUGUCUUUAUCUGUCAACUCCUCCAAAAUGUCAAAACACAAAGAAGAUAACUCUUUCUUAAAUUUUCAACCAUCAAUUUUUAUUCACCCAGCCUAAAAGUCCUGAUUAUCAGUUCUGGGUCCCUGGCAAUGACUUUUGGGUACAAACUGCAAAGCUUUGUUCUGCAGGUAGGGCUGGGCUUUUCAUUGACCAUGGGUUGGAAUAGUUCUGUGGGCAUAGUGUGUCUUCGAAGCCACUAUGUUUUCUGCACUUGUGACUAGAGAGCACCUUGAUAGCUCAGUUGGUAGAGCGGUGGACUGUAAGAUGCUCCUUGUGUGAAACGCUGUGAUCCUAAGGUCGCUGGUUCAACUCCAGCUCCAAGCAGCUCCUUGUCAUUGGAAAUACCCCCAAGCCUUGUCUUUAUCUGUCAACUCCUCCAAAAUGUCAAAACACAAAGAAGAUAACUCUUUCUUAAAUUUUCAACCAUCAAUUUUUUAUUCACCCAGCCUAAAAGUCCUGAUUAUCAGUUCUGGGUCCCUGGCAAUGACUGUUGGGUACAAACUGCAAAGCUUUGUUCUGCAGGUAGGGCUGGGCUUUUCAUUGACCAUGGGUUGGAAUAGUGCUGUGGGCAUAGUGUGUCUUCGAAGCCACUAUGUUUUCUGCACUUGUGACUAGAGAGCACCUUGAUAGCUCAGUUGGUAGAGCGGUGGACUGUAAGAUGCUCCUUGUGUGAAACGCUGUGAUCCUAAGGUCGCUGGUUCAACUCCAGCUCCAAGCACCUCCUUGACAUUGGAAAUACCCCCAAGCCUUGUCUUUAUCUGUCAACUCCUCCAAAAUGUCAAAACACAAAGAAGAUAACUCUUUCUUUAAUUUUCAACCAUCAAUUUUUUAUUCACCCAGCCUAAAAGUCCUGAUUAUCAGUUCUGGGUCCCUGGCAAUGACUGUUGGGUACAAACUGCAAAGCUUUGUUCUUCAGGUAGGGCUGGGCUUUUCAUUGACCAUGGGUUGGAAUAGUUCUGUGGGCAUAGUGUGUCUUCGAAGCCACUAUGUUUUCUGCACUUGUGACUAGAGAGCACCUUGAUAGCUCAGUUUGUAGAGCGGUGGACUGUAAGAUGCUCCUUGUGUGAAACGCUGUGAUCCUAAGGUCUCUGGUUCAACUCCAGCUCCAAGCACCUCCUUGUCAUUGGAAAUACCCCCAAGCCUUGUCUUUAUCUUUCAACUCCUCCAAAAUGUCAAAACACAAAGAAGAUAACUCUUUCUUAAAUUUUCAACCAUCAAUUUUUUAUUCACCCAGCCUAACAGUCCUGAUUAUCAGUUCUGGGUCCCUGGCAAUGACUGUUGGGUACAAACUGCAAAGCUUUGUUCUGCAGGUAGGGCUGGGCUUUUCAUUGACCAUGGGUUGGAAUAGUUCUGUGGGCAUAGUGUGUCUACGAAGCCACUAUGUUUUCUGCACUUGUGACUAGAGAGCACCUUGAUAGCUCAGUUGGUAGAGCGGUGGACUGUAAGAUGCUCCUUGUGUGAAACGCUGUGAUCCUAAGGUCGCUGGUUCAACUCCAGCUCCAAGCAGCUCCUUGUCAUUGGAAAUACCCCCAAGCCUUGUCUUUAUCUGUCAACUCCUCCAAAAUGUCAAAACACAAAGAAGAUAACUCUUUCUUAAAUUUUCAACCAUCAAUUUUUUAUUCACCCAGCCUAAAAGUCCUGAUUAUCAGUUCUGGGUCCCUGGCAAUGACUGUUGGGUACAAACUGCAAAGCUUUGUUCUGCAGGUAGGGCUGGGCUUUUCAUUGACCAUGGGUUGGAAUAGUUCUGUGGGCAUAGUGUGUCUUCGAAGCCACUAUGUUUUCUGCACUUGUGACUAGAGAGCACCUUGAUAGCUCAGUUGGUAGAGCGGUGGACUGUAAGAUCCUCCUUGUGUGAAACGCUGUGAUCCUAAGGUCGCUGGUUCAACUCCAGCUCCAAGCAACUCCUUGUCAUUGGAAAUACCCCCAAGCCUUGUCUUUAUCUGUCAACUCCUCCAAAAUGUCAAAACACAAAGAAGAUAACUCUUUCUUAAAUUUUCAACCAUCAAUGUUUUAUUCACCCAGCCUAAAAGUCCUGAUUAUCAGUUCUGGGUCCCUGGCAAUGACUGUUGGGUACAAACUGCAAAGCUUUGUUCUGCAGGUAGGGCUGGGCUUUUCAUUGACCAUGGGUUGGAAUAGUUCUGUGGGCAUAGUGUGUCUUCGAAGCCACUAUGUUUUCUGCACUUGCGACUAGAGAGCACCUUGAUAGCUCAGUUUGUAGAGCGGUGGACUGUAAGAUGCUCCUUGUGUGAAACGCUGUGAUCCUAAGGUGGCUGGUUCAACUCCAGCUCCAAGCACCUCCUUGUCAUUGGAAAUACCCCCAAGCCUUGUCUUUAUCUUUCAACUCCUCCAAAAUGUCAAAACACAAAGAAGAUAACUCUUUCUUAAAUUUUCAACCAUCAAUUUUUUAUUCACCCAGCCUAAAAGUCCUGAUUAUCAGUUCUGGGUCCCUGGCAAUGACUGUUGGGUACAAACUGCAAAGCUUUGUUCUGCAGGUAGGGCUGGGCUUUUCAUUGACCAUGGGUUGGAAUAGUUCUGUGGGCAUAGUGUGUCUUCGAAGCCACUAUGUUUUCUGCACUUGUGACUAGAGAGCACCUUGAUAGCUCAGUUGGUAGAGCGGUGGACUGUAAGAUGCUCCUUGUGUGAAACGCUGUGAUCCUAAGUUCGCUGUUUCAACUCCAGCUCCAUGCACCUCCUUGUCAUUGGAAAUACCCCCAAGCCUUGUCUUUAUCUGUCAACUCCUCCAAAAUGUCAAAACACAAACAAGAUAGCUCUUUCUUAAAUUUUCAACCAUCAAUUUUUUAUUCACCCAGCCUAAAAGUCCUGAUUAUCAGUUCUGGGUCCCUGGCAAUGACUGUUGGGUACAAACUGCAAAGCUUUGUUCUGCAGGUAGGGCUGGGCUUUUCAUUGACCAUGGGUUGGAAUAGUUCUUUGGGCAUAGUGUGUCUUCGAAGCCACUAUGUUUUCUGCACUUGAGACUAGAGAGCACCUUGAUAGCUCAGUUGGUACAGCGGUGGACUGUAAGAUGCUCCUUGUGUGAAACGCUGUGAUCCUAAGGUCGCUGGUUCAACUCCAGCUCCAUGCACCUCCUUGUCAUUGGAAAUACCCCCAAGCCUUGUCUUUAUCUGUCAACUCCUCCAAAAUGUCAAAACACAAAGAAGAUAACUCUUUCUUAAAUUUUCAACCAUCAAUUUUUUAUUCACCCAGCCUAAAAGUCCUGAUUAUCAGUUCUGGGUCCCUGGCAAUGACUGUUGGGUACAAACUGCAAAGCUUUGUUCUGCAGGUAGGGCUGGGCUUUUCAUUGACCAUGGGUUGGAAUAGUUCUGUGGGCAUAGUGUGUCUUCGAAGCCACUAUGUUUUCUGCACUUGUGACUAGAGAACACCUUGAUAGCUCAGUUGGUAGAGCGGUGGACUGUAAAAUGCUCCUUGUGUGAAACGCUGUGAUCCUAAGGUCGCUGGUUCAACUCCAGCUCCAAGCACCUCCUUGUCAUUGGAAAUACCCCCAAGCCUUGUCUUUAUCUGUCAACUCCUCCAAAAUGUCAAAACACAAAGAAGAUAACUCUUUCUUAAAUUUUCAACCAUCAAUGUUUUAUUCACCCAGCCUAAAAGUCCUGAUUAUCAGUUCUGGGUCCCUGGCAAUGACUGUUGGGUACAAACUGCAAAGCUUUGUUCUGCAGGUAGGGCUGGGCUUUUCAUUGACCAUGGGUUGGAAUAGUUCUGUGGGCAUAGUGUGUCUUCGAAGCCACUAUGUUUUCUGCACUUGUGACUAGAGAGCACCUUGAUAGCUCAGUUGGUAGAGCGGUGGCCUGUAAGAUGCUCCUUGUGUGAAACGCUGUGAUCCUAAGGUCGCUGGUUCAACUCCAGCUCCAAGCACCUCCGUGUCUUUGGAAAUACCCCCAAGCCUUGUCUUUAUCUGUCAACUCCUCCAAAAUGUCAAAACACAAAGAAGAUAACUCUUUCUUAAAUUUUCAACCAUCAAUUUUUUAUUCACCCAGCCUAAAAGUCCUGAUUAUCAGUUCUGGGUCCCUGGCAAUGACUGUUGGGUACAAACUGCAAAGCUUUGUUCUGCAGGUAGGGCUGGGCUUUUCAUUGACCAUGGGUUGGAAUAGUUCUUUGGGCAUAGUGUGUCUUCGAAGCCACUAUGUUUUCUGCACUUGUGCCUAGAGAGCACCUUGAUAGCUCAGUUGCUAGAGCGGUGGACUCUAAGAUGCUCCUUGUGUGAAACGCUGUGAUCCUAAGUUCGCUGGUUCAACUCCAGCUCCAUGCACCUCCUUGUCAUUGGAAAUACCCCCAAGCCUUGUCUUUAUCUGUCAACUCCUCCAAAAUGUCAAAACACAAAGAAGAUAACUCUUUCUUAAAUUUUCAACCAUCAAUUUUUUAUUCACCCAGCCUAAAAGUCCUGAUUAUCAGUUCUGGGUCCCUGGCAAUGACUGUUGGGUACAAACUGCAAAGCUUUGUUCUGCAGGUAGGGCUGGGCUUUUCAUUGACCAUGGGUUGGAAUAGUUCUGUGGGCAUAGUGUGUCUUCGAAGCCACUAUGUUUUCUGCACUUGCGACUAGAGAGCACCUUGAUAUCUCAGUUGGUAGAGCGGUGGACUGUAAGAUGCUCCUUGUGUGAAACGCUGUGAUCCUAAGUUCGCUGGUUCAACUCCAGCUCCAUGCACCUCCUUGUCAUUGGAAAUACCCCCAAGCCUUGUCUUUAUCUGUCAACUCCUCCAAAAUGUCAAAACACAAACAAGAUAGCUCUUUCUUAAAUUUUCAACCAUCAAUUUUUUAUUCACCCAGCCUAAAAGUCCUGAUUAUCAGUUCUGGGUCCCUGGCAAUGACUGUUGGGUACAAACUGCAAAGCUUUGUUCUGCAGGUAGGGCUGGGCUUUUCAUUGACCAUGGGUUGGAAUAGUUCUUUGGGCAUAGUGUGUCUUCGAAGCCACUAUGUUUUCUGCACUUGUGACUAGAGAGCACCUUGAUAGCUCAGUUGGUAGAGCGGUGGACUGUAAGAUGCUCCUUGUGUGAAACGCUGUGAUCCUAAGUUCGCUGGUUCAACUCCAGCUCCAUGCACCUCCUUGUCAUUGGAAAUACCCCCAAGCCUUGUCUUUAUCUGUCAACUCCUCCAAAAUGUCAAAACAAAAAGAAGAUAACUCUUUCUUAAAUUUUCAACCAUCAAUUUUUUAUUCACCCAGCCUAAAAGUCCUGAUUAUCAGUUCUGGGUCCCUGGCAAUGUCUGUUGGGUACAAACUGCAAAGCUUUGUUCUGCAGGUAGGGCUGGGCUUUUCAUUGACCAUGGGUUGGAAUAGUUCUGUGGGCAUAGUGUGUCUUCGAAGCCACUAUGUUUUCUGCACUUGUGAAUAGAGAGCACCUUGAUAGCUCAGUUGGUAGAGCGGUGGACUGUAAAAUGCUCCUUGUGUGAAACGCUGUGAUCCUAAGGUCGCUGGUUCAACUCCAGCUCCAAGCACCUCCUUGUCAUUGGAAAUACCCCCAAGCCUUGUCUUUAUCUGUCAACUCCUCCAAAAUGUCAAAACACAAAGAAGAUAACUCUUUCUUAAAUUUUCAACCAUCAAUGUUUUAUUCACCCAGUCUAAAAGUCCUGAUUAUCAGUUCUGGGUCCCUGGCAAUGACUGUUGGGUACAAACUGCAAAGCUUUGUUCUGCAGGUAGGGCUGGGCUUUUCAUUGACCAUGGGUUGGAAUAGUUCUGUGGGCAUAGUGUGUCUUCGAAGCCACUAUGUUUUCUGCACUUGUGACUAGAGAGCACCUUGAUAGCUCAGUCGGUAGAGCGGUGGACUGUAAGAUGCUCCUUGUGUGAAACGCCGUGAUCCUAAGGUCGCUGGUUCAACUCCAGCUCUAAGCACCUCCUUGUCAUUGGAAAUACCCCCAAGCCUUGUCUUUAUCUGUCAACUCCUCCAAAAUGUCAAAACACAAAGAAGAUAACUCUUGCUUAAAUUUUCAACCAUCAAUUUUUUAUUCACCCAGCCUAAAAGUCCUGAUUAUCAGUUCUGGGUCCCUGGCAAUGACUGUUGGGUACAAACUGCAAAGCUUUGUUCUGCAGGUAGGGCUGGGCUUUUCAUUGACCAUGGGUUGGAAUAGUUCUGUGGGCAUAGUGUGUCUUCGAAGCCACUAUGUUUUCUGCACUUGUGACUAGAGAGCACCUUGAUAGCUCAGUUGGUAGAGCGGUGGACUGUAAGAUGCUCCUUGUGUGAAACGCUGUGAUCCUAAGGUCGCUGGUUCAACUCCAGCUCCAAGCACCUCCUUGUCAUUGGAAAUACCCCCAAGCCUUGUCUUUAUCUGUCAACUCCUCCAAAAUGUCAAAACACAAAGAAGAUAACUCUUUCUUAAAUUUUCAACCAUCAAUGUUUUAUUCACCCAGCCUAAAAGUCCUGAUUAUCAGUUCUGGGUCCCUGGCAAUGACUGUUGGGUACAAACUGCAAAGCUUUGUUCUGCAGGUAGGGCUGGGCUUUUCAUUGACCAUGGGUUGGAAUAGUUCUGUGGGCAUAGUGUGUCUUAGAAGCCACUAUGUUUUCUGCACUUGUGAAUAGAGAGCACCUUGAUAGCUCAGUUGGUUGAGCGGUGGACUGUAAGAUGCUCCUUGUGGGAAACGCCGUGAUCCUAAGGUCGCUGGUUCAACUCCAGCUCCAAGCACCUCCUUGUCAUUGGAAAUACACCCUAGCCUUGUCUUUGUCUGUCAACUCCUCCAAAAUGUCAAAACACAAAGAACAUAACUCUUUCUUAAAUUUUCAACCAUCAAUUUUUUAUUCACCCAGCCUAAAAGUCCUGAUUAUCAGUUCUGGGUCCCUGGCAAUGACUGUUGGGUACAAACUGGAAAGCUUUGUUCUGCAGGUAGGGCUGGGCUUUUCAUUGACCAUGGGUUGGAAUAGUUCUGUGGGCAUAGUGUGUCUUCGAAGCCACUAUGUUUUCUGCACUUGUGACUAGAGAGCACCUUGAUAGCUCAGUUGGUAGAGCGGUGGACUGUAAGAUGCUCCUUGUGUGAAACGCUGUGAUCCUAAGGUCGCUGGUUCAACUCCAGCUCCAAGCACGUCCUUGUCAUUGGAAAUACCCCCAAGCCUUGUCUUUAUCUGUCAACUCCUCCAAAAUGUCAAAACACAAACAAGAUAACUCUUUCUUAAAUUUUCAACCAUCAAUGUUUUAUUCACCCAGCCUAAAAGUCCUGAUUAUCAGUUCUGGGUCCCUGGCAAUGACUGUUGGGUACAAACUGCAAAGCUUUGUUCUGCAGGUAGGGCUGGGCUUUUCAUUGACCAUGGGUUGGAAUAGUUCUGUGGGCAUAGUGUGUCUUCGAAGCCACUAUGUUUUCUGCACUUGUGAAUAGAGAUCACCUUGAUAGCUCAGUUGGUUGAGCGGUGGACUGUAAGAUGCUCCUUGUGGGAAAUGCUGUGAUCCUAAGGUCGCUGGUUCAACUCCAGCUCCAAGCACCUCCUUGUCAUUGGAAAUACCCCAUAGCCUUGUCUUUAUCUGUCAACUCCUCCAAAAUGUCAAAACACAAACAAGAUAACUCUUUCUUAAAUUUUCAACCAUCAAUUUUUUAUUCACCCAGCCUAAAAGUCCUGAUUAUCAGUUCUGGGUCCCUGGCAAUGACUGUUGGGUACAAACUGCAAAGCUUUGUUCUGCAGGUAGGGCUGGGCUUUUCAUUGACCAUGGGUUGGAAUAGUUCUGUGGGCAUAGUGUGUCUUCGAAGCCACUAUGUUUUCUGCACUUGUGACUAGAGAGCACCUUGAUAGCUCAGUUGGUAGAGCGGUGGACUGUAAGAUGCUCCUUGUGUGAAACGCUGUGAUCCUAAGGUCGCUGGUUCAACUCCAGCUCCAAGCACCUCCUUGUCAUUGGAAAUACCCCCAAGCCUUGUCUUUAUCUGUCAACUCCUCCAAAAUGUCAAAACACAAACAAGAUAACUCUUUCUUAAAUUUUCAACCAUCAAUGUUUUAUUCACCCAGUCUAAAAGUCCUGAUUAUCAGUUCUGGGUCCCUGGCAAUGACUGUUGGGUACAAACUGCAAAGCUUUGUUCUGCAGGUAGGGCUGGGCUUUUCAUUGACCAUGGGUUGGAAUAGUUCUGUGGGCAUAGUGUGUCUUCGAAGCCACUAUGUUUUCUGCACUUGUGACUAGAGAGCACCUUGAUAGCUCAGUUGGUAGAGCGGUGUACUGUAAGAUGCUCCUUGUAUGAAACGCUGUGAUCCUAAGGUCGCUGGUUCAACUCCAGCUCCAAGCACCUCCUUGUCAUUGGAAAUACCCCAAAGCCUUGUCUUUAUCUGUCAACUCCUCCAAAAUGUCAAAACACAAAGAAGAUAACUCUUGCUUAAAUUUUCAACCAUCAAUUUUUUAUUCACCCAGACUCAAAGUCCUGAUUAUCAGUUCUGGGUCCCUGGCAAUGACUGUUGGGUACAAACUGCAAAGCUUUGUUCUGCAGGUAGGGCUGGGCUUUUCAUUGACCAUGGGUUGGAAUAGUUCUGUGGGCAUAGUGUGUCUUCGAAGCCACUAUGUUUUCUGCACUUGUGACUAGAGAGCACCUUGAUAGCUCAGUUGGUAGAGCGGUGUACAGUAAGAUGCUCCUUGUAUGAAACGCUGUGAUCCUAAGGUCGCUGGUUCAACUCCAGCUCCAAGCACCUCCUUGUCAUUGGAAAUACCGCAAAGCCUUGUCUUUAUCUGUCAACUCCUCCAAAAUGUCAAAACACAAAGAAGAUAACUCUUGCUUAAAUUUUCAACCAUCAAUUUUUUAUUCACCCAGACUCAAAGUCCUGAUUAUCAGUUCUGGGUCCCUGGCAAUGACUGUUGGGUACAAACUGCAAAGCUUUGUUCUGCAGGUAGGGCUGGGCUUUUCAUUGACCAUGGGUUGGAAUAGUUCUGUGGGCAUAGUGUGUCUUCGAAGCCACUAUGUUUUCUGCACUUGUGAAUAGAGAGCACCUUGAUAGCUCAGUUGGUUGAGCGGUGGACUGUAAGAUGCUCCUUGUGGGAAACGCCGUGAUCCUAAGGUCGCUGGUUCAACUCCAGCUCCAAGCACCUCCUUGUCAUUGGAAAUACCCCCAAGCCUUGUCUUUAUCUGUCAACUCCUCCAAAAUGUCAAAACACAAACAAGAUAACUCUUGCUUAAAUUUUCAACCAUCAAUGUUUUAUUCACCCAGCCUAAAAGUCCUGAUUAUCAGUUCUGGGUCCCUGGCAAUGACUGUUGGGUACAAACUGCAAAGCUUUGUUCUGCAGGUAGGGCUGGGCUUUUCAUUGACCAUGGGUUGGAAUAGUUCUGUGGGCAUAGUGUGUCUUCGAAGCCACUAUGUUUUCUGCACUUGUGAAUAGAGAGCACCUUGAUAGCUCAGUUGGUAGAGCGGUGGACUGUAAGAUGCUCCUUGUGUGAAACGCUGUGAUCCUAAGGUCGCUGGUUCAACUCCAGCUCCAAGCACCUCCUUGUCAUUGGAAAUACCCCAAAGCCUUGUCUUUAUCUGUCAACUCCUCCAAAAUGUCAAAACACAAAGAAGAUAACUCUUGCUUAAAUUUUCAACCAUCAAUUUUUUAUUCACCCAGACUCAAAGUCCUGAUUAUCAGUUCUGGGUCCCUGGCAAUGACUGUUGGGUACAAACUGCAAAGCUUUGUUCUGCAGGUAGGGCUGGGCUUUUCAUUGACCAUGGGUUGGAAUAGUUCUGUGGGCAUAGUGUGUCUUCGAAGCCACUAUGUUUUCUGCACUUGUGACUAGAGAGCACCUUGAUAGCUCAGUUGGUAGAGCGGUGUACUGUAAGAUGCUCCUUGUGGGAAACGCCGUGAUCCUAAGGUCGCUGGUUCAACUCCAGCUCCAAGCACCUCCUUGUCAUUGGAAAUACCGCAAAGCCUUGUCUUUAUCUGUCAACUCCUCCAAAAUGUCAAAACACAAAGAAGAUAACUCUUGCUUAAAUUUUCAACCAUCAAUUUUUUAUUCACCCAGACUCAAAGUCCUGAUUAUCAGUUCUGGGUCCCUGGCAAUGACUGUUGGGUACAAACUGCAAAGCUUUGUUCUGCAGGUAGGGCUGGGCUUUUCAUUGACCAUGGGUUGGAAUAGUUCUGUGGGCAUAGUGUGUCUUCGAAGCCACUAUGUUUUCUGCACUUGUGACUAGAGAGUACCUUGAUAGCUCAGUUGGUAGAGCGGUGGACUGUAAGAUGCUCCUUGUGUGAAACGCUGUGAUCCUAAGGUCGCUGGUUCAACUCCAGCUCCAAGCACCUCCUUGUCAUUGGAAAUACCCCCAAGCCUUGUCUUUAUCUGUCAACUCCUCCAAAAUGUCAAAACACAAACAAGAUAACUCUUUCUUAAAUUUUCAACCAUCAAUGUUUUAUUCACCCAGCCUAAAAGUCCUGAUUAUCAGUUCUGGGUCCCUGGCAAUGACUGUUGGGUACAAACUGCAAAGCUUUGUUCUGCAGGUAGGGCUGGGCUUUUCAUUGACCAUGGGUUGGAAUAGUUCUGUGGGCAUAGUGUGUCUUCGAAGCCACUAUGUUUUCUGCACUUGUGAGUAGAGAGCACGUUGAUAGCUCAGUUGGUAGAGCGGUGGACUGUAAGAUGCUCCUUGUGUGAAACGCCGUGAUCCUAAGGUCGCUGGUUCAACUCCAGCUCCAAGCACCUCCUUGUCAUUGGAAAUACCCCCAAGCCUUGUCUUUAUCUGUCAACUCCUCCAAAAUGUCAAAACACAAAGAAGAUAACUCCUUCUUAAAUUUUCAACCAUCAAUGUUUUAUUCACCCAGCCUAAAAGUCCUGAUUAUCAGUUCUGGGUCCCUGGCAAUGACUGUUGGGUACAAACUGCAAAGCUUUGUUCUGCAGGUAGGGCUGGACUUUUCAUUGACCAUGGGUUGGAAUAGUUCUGUGGGCAUAGUGUGUCUUCGAAGCCACUAUGUUUUCUGCACUUGUGACUAGACAGCACCUUGAUAGCUCAGUUGGUAGAGCGGUGGACUGUAAAAUGCUCCUUGUGUGAAACGCCGUGAUCUUAAGGUCGCUGGUUCAACUCCAGCUCCAAGCACCUCCUUGUCAUUGGAAAUACCCCCAGGCCUUGUCUUUAUCUGUCAACUCCUCCAAAAUGUCAAAACACAAAGAAGAUAACUCUUUCUUAAAUUUUCAACCAUCAAUGUUUUAUUCACCCAGCCUAAAAGUCCUGAUUAUCAGUUCUGGGUCCCUGGCAAUGACUGUUGGGUACAAACUGCAAAGCUUUGUUCUGCAGGUAGGGCUGGGCUUUUCAUUGACCAUGGGUUGGAAUAGUUCUGUGGGCAUAGUGUGUCUUCGAAGCCACUAUGUUUUCUGCACUUGUGACUAGAGAGCACCUUGAUAGCUCAGUUGGUAGAGCGGUGGACUGUAAGAUGCUCCUUGUGUGAAACGCUGUGAUCCUAAGGUCGCUGGUUCAACUCCAGCUCCAAGCACCUCCUUGUCAUUGGAAAUACCCCCAAGCCUUGUCUUUAUCUGUCAACUCCUCCAAAAUGUCAAAACACAAAGAAGAUAACUCUUUCUUAAAUUUUCAACCAUCAAUGUUUUAUUCACCCAGCCUAAAAGUCCUGAUUAUCAGUUCUGGGUCCCUGGCAAUGACUGUUGGGUACAAACUGCAAAGCUUUGUUCUGCAGGUAGGGCUGGGCUUUUCAUUGACCAUGGGUUGGAAUAGUUCUGUGGGCAUAGUGUGUCUUCGAAGCCACUAUGUUUUCUGCACUUGUGACGAGAGAGCACCUUGAUAGCUCAGUUGGUAGAGCGGUGGACUGUAAGAUGCUCCUUGUGGGAAACGCCGUGAUCCUAAGGUCGCUGGUUCAACUCCAGCUCCAAGCACCUCCUUGUCAUUGGAAAUACCCCCUAGCCUUGUCUUUAUCUGUCAACUCCUCCAAAAUGUCAAAACACAAACAAGAUAACUCUUGCUUAAUUUUCCAACCAUCAAUGUUUUAUUCACCCAGCCUAAAAGUCCUGAUUAUCAGUUCUGGGUCCCUGGCAAUGACUGUUGGGUACAAACUGCAAAGCUUUGUUCUGCAGGUAGGGCUGGGCUUUUCAUUGACCAUGGGUUGGAAUAGUUCCGUGGUCAUAGUGUGUCUUCGAAGCCAUUAUGUUUUCUGCACUUGUGACUAGAGAGCACCUUGAUUGCUCACUUGGUAGAGUGGUGGACUGUAAGAUGCUCCUCGUGUGAAAAGCUGUGAUCCUAAGGUCGCUCGUUCAACUCCAGCCCCAAGCACCUCCUUGUCAUUGCAAAUACUCCCAAGCCUUGUCUUUAUCUGUCAACUCCUCCAAAAUGUCAAAACACAAACAAGAUAACUCUUUCUUAAAUUUUCAACCAUCAAUUUUUAUUCACCCAGCCUAAAAGUCCUGAUUAUCAGUUCUGGGUCCCCGGCAAUGACUGUUGGGUACAAACUGCAAAGCUUUGUUCUGCAGGUAGGGCUGGGCUUUUCAUUGACCAUGGGUUGGAAUAGUUCUGUGGGCAUAGUGUGUCUUCGAAGCUACUAUGUUUUUUGCACUUGUGACUACAGAGCACCUUGAUAGCCCAGUUGGUAGAGCGGUGGACUGUAAGAUGCUCCUUGUGUGAAACGUUGUGAUCCUAAGGUUGCUGGUUCAACUCCAGCUCCCAGCACGUGCAUUUCAUUGGUGUGAGCAAUGUUCAAAUUCUAUUCACAUUGAAAUAAUGCCAAGCCUUAUCUUCAUCUGUCAUCUCCUCCUUAAUGUAUAAACACAAAGAAUUUAACUCUUGCUUAAUUUUCCAACCAUCAAUUUUUUAUUCACCCAGCCUAAAAGUCCUGAUCAUAAGUUCUGGGUCCCUGGCAAUGACUGUUGGGUACAAACUGCAAAGCUUUCUUCUGCAGGUAGGGCUGGGCUUUUCAUUGACCAUGGGUUCAAAUAGUUCUGUGGGCAUAGUGUUUCGACUCAGCCACUAUGUUUUCUGCAGUAGUAACUAGAGAGCAUCUUGAUAGCUCAGUUGGUAGAGCGGAGGACUGUAGGAUGUUUCCGAUAGAAAUUGCUGUGAUCCUUAGAUCGCUGGUUCGACUCCGGCUCGAAUGAUAUGUAAGCAGUCUUCUGGUUUUAAUCACAUCGAAAUAAUGCGUAGCCUUGUCUUUUUCAAUCAACUACGUCACUUAAAAUGUACAAACACAAAUAAGAUAACUCCUCCUUGUGAUGGACCCACUUACUUUUCCGGUUGACCACCUUUAUGAAAGGCUCAUAUGGCCUACAUAUCACACAAAAAAUGUAAACACGAUAGAAAUGAUUAAUUCAAUGAAUUCAUCUUAGAAAUAAAUGGGCAUGGGCUGCAGGGGCUGUGUGAUCACAGACAACAUCUCGGUACUAUUUAGCGCACACCCCUUUUAAUAACCCCCAUAAAUACUGUUGUUCCGGACUUCUUACUUGUGCUUCCUACCUACCUACUGUAAUAACCGUUGUUCCAGCCAACAUGCAACAUUUUUGUUCUCAUUCAUGAAACGCUUAAAUCGGGGACAUUUUCGGGGACAGACAUAUGGUGACUGUCCCCGGAAAUCAGGGACGUCUGGUCACCUUAGUUAAAAGCGCAUGUUGAACAGUGCUAUUUCAGGGUGAUAAUGGCAUCAAAGAUGAAUUUUCUGCCAGCAUUCCCUCCGUGCUUUUGCAGCGGCGACGGUGUUGCUUUUGAGGUUUAUGAUAGAUUUGAAUUCUUCAUACUUUCUUAUGAUUGUUUUCUGCCCCUUGUUUGUGAAGUCUGCGGUCCUUCGCUCUGCAGUCUGCUCUCUGACGCUCCAGACUGGUCCAUGUUCGCGAUUGGUCAGAUGUGGCGGGCUCCGCCUUAAAUGCGUGCAUGCGCUCAUAGCAAAGCUGGAUCAACUUACGAGGUUGUUAACCAGCGUCGUAAGACCGUUUAGCGAGACCGCUGGCUACCGCGCUAAGUUGAGCGAGGUACCUCCAAGGCUACCUUGCUAGGUUGAACUUGCUUUGUAUAACAGGCCCCUGUUCUCUGUGCUGUAUCAGUUUUCAGUGUUUCUUGUUUUAUUUUGUAGUAGCUGAUUUUUUGUGUUUCUAGACUGGUUUUACUUCCCUAGUUUUCCCUCCUUUGUUAAUCACUCAUGAGUUUCACCUGUGUCUCGUCAGCCUCACCUGUUGCUCGUUAGCCUCACCUGUGUCUCGUCAGCAUCACCUGUUGCUCGUUUCCCAGUGUUUAUAAAGUCCCUGUCUUCUCCUCUGUUCUUGCUGGUUCUUUGUGUGUGCAUGUCUGUCUGUUCCCUGUGAUCUUUGAGUCCCAAAUAUCCUUGUAAUUUUUUUCACCCCACUGUCUAAAGCUGGAUUUUGCCUUUUGGAUGUUUUAGUUGGACAUUUUAAAGUAAGUUUUUGUUGCUUUACAUAAAGUUCUUUUUAAAUAAAUCAUUUUUUGUUCCGCAUUUGGGUCCUUUUUUCUGUUGUUCAACUCUGCUACGUGACAGUUACAGUUGAAGCAAAAAGAAAAAAGGUGCAUCUUUGUUUUUCUUAUAAAAUCGUUUUAGGUCUUCUCAAUUUAUCCCAAAUACUCCUUUCACUAGAGAGUUUAGUUCAAAAUUUUCCAGGUGGGCUUUAAAGAUGUAUAUUGACUAAAGUGGCAGCAUCAGGUUAGAUGCCAGCUAACUGAAAACUUGUUCUCAAAUCUCAUCCUUACAAGCAUGUAGGUUAAACUUGGUCUUGUAAACCUUGUGGGAAAAAUCACUUUUCUUACUGGUAUUUUUCUAAUUAUUCUUCUAAUUUCAUUUCUUCUUUUGAAGUGAAGCAGGUACGCAGCAGAUGCCGAUCACCUUGGCCUCUAAGUUGGGAAAUCUUCGGGAAAACUGAGAUGGAAGCCAGGCUAUCAACUGCUGCAAGUGGGGUCAGCUUCACCAUUUAAUGAAACUCCAACCCAAAGGCUCAUGUUGGUAAAGAUGUACACAUGACACAGAAUUUUUCCAGUACUCAAUUUUGCCACCAGAAAGCCUGUUCAUUACUGUUCUCCUUUGUACUCAAGAUGAGGCACAUCCAUGUUUAUCCAGUCAGCUUUGAAAGAAAUUAAAAAAACACAAUUUAAAUGUGACCACGCCCAAAGUUUGUGUAAUUAAAAUGAAGACAAGUAGACAAAGAGAACCUCACAAUUGCAAACGGACACAUUUUCAACAGCUUUGCCUCUUCAGAACUCGAACAUGGGUUAUGUGAAUCACUGAGUUUAACUUUGACUGUAGCUCUUCCAUGAGUUACAUGU
rnacentral:lncRNA from 1 species